rnacentral:rRNA from 1 species
GGACGGGGGAGUAACACGUGGGCAACCUGCCCUGUAAACGGUUAUAACACCGAUAAAUCCGUGCUAAUACCGGAUAACACGAAUAACCGCAUGGUUUUUCGUUGAAAGGAGGCGCACGCUGUCACUACUGGAUGGGCCCGCGGCGCAUUACCUACUUGGUGAGGUAACGGCUCACCAAGGGGACGAUGCGUAUCCGACCUGACAGGGUGAUCGGGCACACUGGAACUGAUACACGGCCCACACUCCUACGGGAGGCAGCAGCACGCAAUCUUCCGCAAUGUACCAAAGUCUGACGGAACAACGCCGCGUUGAGCGAAGAAGGCCUUCUGAUCGUAAAGUUCUGUUGUUAGGGAAGAACAAGUACCGCAGUCACUGGCGGUACCUUGACGGAACCUAACGAGAAAGCCACGGCUAACUACGUGCCAGCAGCCACGUGAAUACGUACGUGGCAAGCGUUGUCCGGAAUUAUUGUACGCAAAGCGCGCGCAGGCGCCUCCUUAAUUCUGAUGAGAAAGCACCACUGCUCAACCGCGCAGGGUCAUUGGAAACUUGUUGCACUUGAUUGCAGAACAAGAGAGCGGAAUUCCCACGUGUACUAGUGAAAUGCGUAUAGAUGUGGAGGAUCACCAGUGGCGAAGUCGGCUGUCUGGUGUGUAACUGACGCUGAGGCGCGAAAGCGUGGGGAGCAAACAGGAUUAGAUACUCUGGUAGUCCACGCAGUAAACGAUGAGUGUUAAGUGUUAGAGGGUAUCCACCCUUUAGUGGAGUAGCUAACGCAUUAAGCACUCCGCCUGGGGAGUACGCUCGCAAGAGUGAAACUCAAAGGAAUUGACGGGGGGCCGCACAAGCGGUGGAGCAUGUGGUUUAAUUCGAAGCAACGAGAAGAACGUUAGCAGGUCUUGUACAUCCCCUGACAACCCGAGAGAUCGGGCGUUCCUCCUUCGGGGGGACAGGGUGACAGGUGGUGCAUGGUUGUCGUCAGCUUGUGUCGUGAGAUGUUGGUUUAAGUUCCGCAACGAGCGCUACCUUCGACUUUAGUUCCCAGCAUUCAGUUGGGCACUGUAAGGUGACUUCGGAGUAAAAGUCGGAGGAAGGUGGGGAUGACGUCAAAUCUUCAUUCCCCUUAUGACCUGGUCUUCACACGUGUUACAAUGGGCGGUUCAAAGGGUUGUGUAACCGCGAGGGGGAGCCAAUCCCAAAAAGCCGCUAUCAGUUGGGAUUGCAGGUUGCAACUCGCUUGCAAGAAGCCGGAAUCGGUAGUAAUCGCGGAUCAGCAUGCCGCGGUGAAUACUUUCCCGGGCAUUGUACACACCGCCCGUCACACCAUGAGAGUUUGCAACACCUGAAGUCGGUGAGGUAACCCUU